CAAUGGAGAGUUUUGACACCUGUAUACCUGUAUUCUACCAAUCACCUUUGUAACCUUUGUUGUGUUCAUCAGACAGGCUUUAGGUGAAAGUGGUCUGUCACUGAGUCAACAAUUACUGUCUGUCACUGAGUCAACAAUUACUGUGAGCCUAUUUGGUGCCAUUCACAAGCAGAAAAAUAUACAUAAACCCAACAUUCAUCAUGUUUGAUCUUAAACUACCAGACUACCAGUGUUGGAUAACUGGAGCCUUGCCUAGUACUACUCAAACUGGAGCUGUGGGGAUGGAGUCCAGAGACAUUUUCCCUAUGGAUGUGUUUCAAAGAAUUCUGAUGGAGCUUGGAGCAGUCUCGGUUA